GUGAGUCAUCGAAUCUUUGAACGCAUAUUGCACUCUUUGGUAUUCCGAAGAGUAUGCCUGUUUCAGUAUCAGAAAUUACUCUCGAAAUUUUAUUUCGGAUAUGGGUUUUGUAAAAAUUUUUUUACUGGCCUAAAAUUUAAUCAAAGCAGAUCUUGGGAAUUAACUCGGAUGAUUUUUGUUUGAGGCGUCAUAGUUGGCUUUUUGGUCAUCUUUCGCUGAAGAAAUUGUUUGGGUCUUGAGAACUUGUUUUGUUUUUUUGAUUUUUUUUUUCAACUUGAUCUGAAAUCAGGCAGGAUUACC
rnacentral:misc_RNA from 1 species